GACGAACGCUGGCGGCGUGCUUAACACAUGCAAGUCGAACGGGAUUUAGUAGACAGAAGCCUCGGCUAAAGAUUACUAAUGAGAGUGGCGAACGGGUGAGUAACGCGUGAGCAACCUGCCUAUGACAGGGGGAUAGCCUCGGGAAACCGGGAUUAAUACCGCAUAACAUCGUAGAAACACAUGUUUUAACGGUCAAAGAUUUAUCGGUCAUAGAUGGGCUCGCGUCUGAUUAGCUAGUUGGUGAGAUAACAGCCCACCAAGGCGACGAUCAGUAGCCGGUCUGAGAGGAUGAACGGCCACAUUGGAACUGAGACACGGUCCAAACUCCUACGGGAGGCAGCAGUGGGGAAUAUUGCACAAUGGGGGAAACCCUGAUGCAGCGACGCCGCGUGAACGAAGAAGGUAUUCGUAUCGUAAAGUUCUGUCCUAUGGGAAGAUAAUGACAGUACCAUAGAAGAAAGCUCCGGCUAAAUACGUG
rnacentral:rRNA from 1 species